AUACUCCAUUUUAUUUAUUCCGAAAAGUUCAGGAAUAGAUAUGUACGGAAUAGAAAAAUUCCACCCACCCAAGUAAAGAACUGUUACAAAUAAUGAAGAAAGUAAUAGAUUUAGGUAAGAAGCAAUAUAAAAUAAACCAAAUUUGAUACCUGAAUAUUCGGUUUGAUAACCUGCUACUAAUUCCUCCUCUGCUUCCGGUAAAUCAAAUGGCAAUCUCUCACAUUCGGCUAGAGAAGAAAUUAGAAAAACAAUAAACCCUAUAGGUUGACGCCACAGAUUCCACCCCCAAAAACCAUAUUUGGACCAUCACAAACUUUAAUUACUAUUCCUCUGUCCAAUUACUAGCUUUUAGGAUGUCAUCUGUAAUUUGUUCUUGUAUGCAGAAGCAUUCUUCUUGGUGUAUAAUUUUAGAGGUCAUGUUAAAGGAGAUGCAGCUGAAAGAUUCUGUUUUUGUUAUCAACAGCACAUACAAUCUUUCAGAAAGGCAGUGGAGUAGGACCCCACUACCAUCUAGGAUGUGAUACACCUCUAAAUCCCCCUUUGCUUAGUACACUACUACAUGUGUAGGAAAAUGAGAUGUCCAAUAGGCAUGGUGGAUCUUCGAAGCACCCAGACUAGCUGGAAGUCGACGGGCUAUGAAAGCUUCAAGAGAGGAGAUGAUGUCCCAAGUAUCUGAGCUGGGGAUGAGCAAUGGAGGAAGCUUUCUUGAUCCCAGGAAAUUUUCAGGAAUUGUCAAUGAAGAUGCCCUCUUCAACCUAUAGUUUGUUCGAGAUGUGACAUCAACUUUCAUUAGCUCUUCGAAUAAAGUCUUAUCAAACGCAUCCCUAUAAUCGUGGAAUCAUUUGGGGCUUUAGUGUGCCUAUUAUUUUCAAAGCAUCAAUGAAGUUUAUCUUAGGGACCACUUGGCUUUAGACUGAUGUCAAAGCAUGGAGUGAUUUUGAAAAUGAACAGAAAAACAGCAAUGCUAACUUACAUAUACAUUUUUGGAUGAAUCACCUCCAUAGAUUUAUGCUAUAUCAUUGGGCAAUCUCAAGGUAAAUAAUAAAUUCUUGUUGGCUAAACAUU